UGGGGAAUCUUGCACAAUGGGGGCAACCCUGAUGCAGCGACGCCGCGUGAGCGAUGAAGCCCUUCGGGGCGUAAAGCUCUUUCGACCGGAACGAUAAUGACGGUACCGGGAGAAGAAGCUGCGGCUAACUACGUGCCAGCAGCCGCGGUAAUACGUAGGCAGCAAGCGUUGUUCGGAGUUACUGGGCGUAAAGAGUGCGUAGGCGGCUUUCUAAGUUCGGUGUGAAAUCUCCCGGCUUAACUGGGAGGGUGCGCCGAAGACUGGGAAGCUGGAGUGUGGGAAAGGCAGGCGGAAUUCCUGGUGUAGCGGUGAAAUGCGUAGAUAUCAGGAGGAACACCGGCGGUGUAGACGGCUUGCUAGACCACAACUGACGCUGAGGCACGAAAGCGUGGGUAGCAAACA
rnacentral:rRNA from 1 species